rnacentral:rRNA from 1 species
UACGAAGGGGGCUAGCGUUGCUCGGAAUUAUUGGGCGUAAAGCGCGCGCAGGCGGUCCUUUAAGUCUGAUGUGAAAGCCCACGGCUCAACCGUGGAGGGUCAUUGGAAACUGGGGGACUUGAGUACAGAAGAGGAAAGCGGAAUUCCACGUGUAGCGGUGAAAUGCGUAGAGAUGUGGAGGAACACCAGUGGCGAAGGCGGCUUUUUGGUCUGUAACUGACGCUGAGGCGCGAAAGCGUGGGGAGCAAACAGG